UACGGAGGAGGCAAGCGUUAUCCGGAAUUAUUGGGCGUAAAGCGUCCGCAGGUGGCACUUCAAGUCUGUCGUCAAAGACUGGGGCUUAACCCCGGAAAGGCGGUGGAAACUGAAGCGCUAGAGUGCGGUAGGGGUAGAGGGAAUUCCCGGUGUAGCGGUGAAAUGCGUAGAGAUCAGGAAGAACACCGGUGGCGAAAGCGCUCUGCUAGGCCGCAACUGACACUGAGGGACGAAAGCUAGGGGAGCGAAUGGG
rnacentral:rRNA from 1 species